UACGAAGGGUGCAAACGUUGUUCGGAAUCAUUGGGCGUAAAGCGCACGUAGGCGGCAUUGUAAGUCGGAUGUGAAAUCCCUCGGCUUAACCAAGGAAGUGCAUCCGAAACUGCAGUGCUUGAGUACUUAAGAGGAUCGCGGAAUUCCCGGUGUAGAGGUGAAAUUCGUAGAUAUCGGGAGGAACACCAGUGGCGAAGGCGGCGAUCUGGGAAGAUACUGACGCUGAGGUGCGAAAGCGUGGGGAGCAAACAGG
rnacentral:rRNA from 1 species